UACGUAGGGUGCGAGCGUUGUCCGGAAUUAUUGGGCGUAAAGAGCUCGUAGGCGGUUUGUCGCGUCUGCUGUGAAAACCGGAGGCUCAACCUCCGGCCUGCAGUGGGUACGGGCAAACUAGAGUGCGGUAGGGGAGAUUGGAAUUCCUGGUGUAGCGGUGGGAUGCGCAGAUAUCAGGAGGAACACCGAUGGCGAAGGCAGAUCUCUGGGCCGUAACUGACGCUGAGGAGCGAAAGCGUGGGGAGCGAACAGG
rnacentral:rRNA from 1 species